rfam:Triticum aestivum genome assembly, contig: Triticum_aestivum_CS42_TGACv1_scaffold_272751_3DS
UUAUUACUCCCUCCGUUCCAAAAUUCUUGUCUUAGAUUCGUCUAGAUACGGAUGUAUCUAAUACUAAAGGGUGACUUGAUACAUCCGUAUUUAAACAAAUUUAAGACAAGAAUUUUGGGACGGAGGGAGUAAUAU